CAAUAAGGCAGUCCUUCAGUUAAGUAGCCAUUUUGGCCCACCUCAAUUGAACGCAGUGCCACCUGUGGUUGAAAUAGCAGUAUAACAGCUAGCUCUAGGUUACACCUUGUCAGGUCUGAAGCUGCUUAUUAACUUAAAUCUUUUUAUCCUGAUGGAUUCACAACGUAAUGGAAAGUCCAAAUGUGAAGGAAUCGUGAGGUGUGCAGAAGUCCGUGCCCCAAAAUGACUUCAACAAGGCCUAGAAUUCACUCGUUCCAAGAGACUCCAUCUGACAAGGUUUGCUCUGCAUGGCAGAGGCUGCCCUGAGGGCUCUGGACUUCCCUGUUGGAGGUGAGUGAACAUGUUAAAGCAAGCAAGCAAGCAAGCAAGCAAGCAAGCAAACAAGCAAGCAAGCAAACAAACAAACAAACAAA